UACGUAGGGUGCAAGCGUUGUUCGGAUUCAUUGGGCGUAAAGGGUGCGUAGGUGGUGGGGUAAGUCGGAUGUGAAAUCCCGGGGCUCAACCCCGGAACUGCAUUCGAUACUGCCUUGCUCGAGUACUGGAGAGGAGACUGGAAUUUACGGUGUAGCAGUGAAAUGCGUAGAUAUCGUAAGGAAGACCAGUGGCGAAGGCGAGUCUCUGGACAGUUACUGACACUGAGGCACGAAGGCCAGGGGAGCAAACGGG
rnacentral:rRNA from 1 species